rnacentral:rRNA from 1 species
CGCGUAGGCGGCCGACUAAGUCAGACGUGAAAUCCCCUGGCUCAACCAGGGAACUGCGUCUGAUACUGGAUGGCUUGAGUUCGGGAGAGGGAAGUGGAAUUCCAGGUGUAGCGGUGAAAUGCGUAGAUAUCUGGAGGAACACCGGUGGCGAAGGCGGCUUCCUGGACCGACACUGACGCUGAGGCGCGAAAGCCAGGGGAGCAAACGGGAUUAGAUACCCCGGUAGUCCUGGCCCUAAACGAUGAAUGCUUGGUGUGGCGGGUAUCGAUCCCUGCCGUGCCGAAGCUAACGCAUUAAGCAUUCCGCCUGGGGAGUACGGUCGCAAGGCUGAA